UCCCAGGUGGCUCAGUGGUAAAGAAUCUGUCUGCAAUGCAGAAUACUCUAGUUCGAUCCCUAGGUUGGGAA
rnacentral:tRNA from 1 species